rnacentral:rRNA from 1 species
AGGACGAACGCUGGCGGCGUGGAUUAGGCAUGCAAGUCGCGCGACGCAGUUCCUUCGGGGACUGACGGAGCGGCGAACGGGUGAGUAACACGUGAACAAUCUGUCCCUACAUUCCGGAUAAUUGGCCGAAAGGCCUUGUAAUACGGGGGAGGACGGUGAUGAGGCAUCUCAUUAUCGGGGAAGGCGCAAGCCGUGCAGGGAGGAGUUCGCGGAUUAUCAGCUUGUUGGUGGGGUAAUGGCCUACCAAGGCGACGACGAUUAGCUGGUCUGAGAGGAUGGUCAGCCACAUUGGAACUGAGACACUGUCCAGACCUCCGUACGGGAGGCUGCAGUCGAGAAUCGUUGGGCAAUGCAACGAAAGUGUGACCCAGCGACGCCGCGUGGAGGAGUGAAGGUACCGUUGGUUACGUAACUUCCUUUAUGAGAGAAGACGUACGUUCGGUGUCGUUGACGGUUAUCCUA